rnacentral:lncRNA from 1 species
AUAUUUCCUUAGGUAUCACGCUGAAUUUUUCUUUAUUGCAAGAAGUUUACAGGAAGCAUGGAGCAGAGUAGAAAGGACAUUUACAUGGAAUUUGGCAUUGUGAAAUCUUAGAUCAAUGAGGAAUUAUAUCGCUUAUUUUUUCUAUUAAAGUAUUCUCCAACAGUCAGCUUUACCCAUUCUUUGGUAUUGUCAGAAAGUAAAGCAUUUGAAAUAGUGUGUUCUGCGUUAUUUACAAUUUGAAUGUUUGAUUUUUUUCUCUUCCAGUUGUAACAAUCUUUUUAGCAGUUGAGAUAGGAAAAGCUGAGCUGCCUCCUUGGACCGACUGGAUUCUAGUCGCAUAUGUCGCUUUUAUGUUCUUGUUCACCUAAUUCUAUCAGUAAGUAAAUUUGAAAAUUCAUCAUCAUUGGUCGUACAGUUGAUAGUUAAAUAGCUCUCAUUACUCUGCUGAGUUCUAAUGUUACAACCGUUUUUUGUCCAGUUUUUUGCCUUGAUCAGAAAAAUUUAAUUUUUUUGUCCGUCAAGCAAACAAAUUUUUGUUCAAACUGUGAUAAAAAUCAUCAGGUGCUUUGAUCCAUUUUAAUUGCAGUAAUUUUCUUGGACUUCUCCUACUCCUCAAUUUCAGACCCAUGACAGUUCAAAAUAUAAUGAAGAUGUUGAAGUUUGAACGUUUGUUCAUUUUGGUUGAUUUUUAUGUUAUCUCUUGCAUAUUUCUUGUUUUUAAUGUUCUCAUUCGUUUCUGUGAAGGUGUCCGGUUGCAUGAGCGAACAACAAAAGCAACAACGAGUCAACUCAUUCCCAAUGAAAGAUAUGCAUCUGAGCAGGAGUCCAUCAUACAUCGAAAGGAAAUCAGACGCGCCUUAUUCUGGUUUCCGGAAGUUCAUCCUCUUCUUUUACGUCUUAGGAAUCAUUGCUGUAACAGCCGUCUUAAAUGUCAUGAUAGUUUACGCACCCAUCGAAAAGAAUUGGGACUCCAUGAAAGAAAUGAUCAUGCCUUAAAUUUAUAAAUACACUGUUCAGUAUUGUAUAUAAUAUGGUGAAAUAUAUUAUAUAUAAUGUCGCACUGUAAAAAUUGUAAAUACCAAGCCACCAUAAGUACUUGUAAAUAGGGCAGUGCAAUUUUUUUAACCAGCGAGCGUUUUUUGUACCAUAGCAGUAUUUUUUGUAAAUGAAGAUUGAGUUUCAGAAAAUUUAGGCACGUGAUGCAACCAAAAAAAACAUAUCCUCCAGCAGAACCGCGGCUUAAAAGAGAUUCCUAAAAUAUGAUUGAUAGUCUACCUUUAUUGCAUAUUUUCUUUUCUGCUCUUCAAAGAGCUUAACUAUUCAAAUAAGUAGUCAAACUUUAUUACAUAUUUUUUUCCUGCUCUUAGAAGAGCCUAAUUAUUCAAAUAAGCAGUCAGUUCCCCCUUCUGUGGGGGAAAAAAAGCACUAGUGCUAUCCUGGAGACCUUGUUUAAUUUUAUUAGCUCCAUCUUAAGAAGCAUGUACCUAUUGAGGCAGUGUUAAUGCAGCACGGUUUUCAAUCAUUGAAUGAUAUUAGGAAGUUUUUAUAAGGAUCGAUAGAAAGAGAAUUUUUUUUACGUGACUGCAUCUCAUUUUUUCUAAUAAACUUUUUAAAAUCCUUGUAGGUCCUCUCAUUGCACAAACAAAAUUCCCUUCUAAGUAAAUAAUUAUCCACCAAAAAUGAUAGUCAACGAUUUUUUUAAAUUAUUUCCUAAGCGAAUGAAGGAUGCAAGUUUUGUUGUUUUCAGACAAUAAACCGUACUGCAUAUUUGUUUAAAGCCAAAUGACUUGUUAUUGCUCCCUACGUAGUCACUUGUCACUUUUCUACAUAUGAUCAAGCUCCCUCUGAAAAUGGUUAGAUUUAAUAUUAAUUUAAGGAGCAUUUAUUUCAUUUUUCAUUUUUGUUCUCAAUUUGUAUUGCAUUCUUUUUUAUGAGGGAAUUUUUGUAUACGCUCAAUACCGUUUUUCAAAUUAGUCGAUGGGUGAACCUUUAGAGAAAUAGAUUAAGAAACCUGAUUCAAAGAAACCCAUGCUAGAUUAAAUCCAUACCAUAUUUGAAGCGCAAUGAAUUAUUGAAUUCGCAACUUAUCUAAAUUUUAUAAAAUGAUAAUUCUAUUACAAAUCAGAAUUUGAAUUGACUUUUUUUUCUCAAAAACUGUAAACAUACAUUCACUCAGCUUAAGUUUGUAGACAUGGGUGUCUACUGUAAACGCGGAUAAAACUUAUCUGCUGUAGAGGUGAAUUUGUACAUAAAAACAAUUGUAUCGUCUCUCUAGCGUCAAAUGAAUGUCUCUCUUCACAAUGAAGGAGAAAAGAUUUUUAUAUAUCUUGUUAACCUCCUUUGACUUCUUAAAGAAGUUUCAGAGGUGGAAUAAAUAUUGAUCUUUAUUGCUGUCAUACUUUUCUUCAACAUAAGUUUUUAUGUUACCUCGUUUAUUUUUUUGUGUAGGUUGCAUGUAUGUAUGUAAUUUGAUUUAGAUACAUACAUUUUCAAUUUGAAAUACCUGAUUACAAACUGCAUCUCUUAUUUUAAUGAAGCAAUCCAUCAACGAACCCUUGUUUAAGAGCCACGAAAUAACCAUUAAAAUGUAACAAUAUCAUUAUGUCGAUAUUUUGUGAGUUGAUCAUAAUUUUCAGAGAACUUGCAUAUAUAUCAGGCAAAAUUUCACAUAGCUCACAUACCUACUCGUUCGAAGUUAAUUUUCAAAGCUCAGGCCUUUCCCCGAAGUUAUUAUCUGGAACAAAAUUUAAAUUUUUCAAUUCUGCUUUUUGCUCCGUAUAGGGCUCUUAAAAGUGAAAUUCAAAAUUCUCUUCUCAUUUAAAAAUAUUUCUUUGAAAAUUCCUUCCAUUAAUGAUUGAUAAAAAAGUAUGAACAAUAUUGAUCAACAUUUUUUGUUGGAAUUAUUUUUGGAAGUAUGUAUGGCUAUCAUAAGCAAUGCAAGGAACACACGUAAUUCAACGAUCUUUACUGAGAUUCAGGUGUAAAAAUUACGGAUGGCUUGUUCAAGAUUUUGAAACUCUUUAAUGAGGGUGCUUUUGUUUUUGUUAACGCAUCUGUUGCCAUUAAAUGUCUAAUUUUAUUCGUUCUACUCAUACGCUUGGAGCAACAAAAUACACAUUAGGGACAGAAAAUCAUGCCAUCUAAUCAAAGCUCAUAACCAUUUAUGAAUCCUUGAUAAAUUAGGUUUUAUUUAGCAAGGAAAAAAUAAAUUUAAAAAUUUCUCAGAGAAGAAAUGCUGAAUGGCAAUGGCUUGUCAAAUACAUAGUAGUACAGACGUGAUAAUUCUGGAAUUAGAGCUGCAGAUUGAAUUUUAACGUUUUAGACUAUUUUGCUGCUCCAUGCAGCUUUUCUUCCUAUUUAUGUUAUAUUUUCAUCUCCGUCCAACUAAGAAUCCUACUUUCCAAAAGAUGUUCCGUUUAUGUGGCACAAUAGGUAACAUUCCAUCAUGAGCUUGGAACGCCUAGUUUUCCCCGUUAAAAAUCAAAAUGAGAUUUUUGCACUUGAUGCUGUUAAAUUUCUUACCUCAAUUUAUUUUUAUCUUGUGUUUUUUCUUCAGGCUAAAAGUAAUUCAUCAGCUCAUUAUCAGUGUGCAUUUUUCUCCAUUUUUAUUCUAUAUUUAAAUUGUAAUCCUGAGGCAUUUUGAUAAGCAUUUUGUUUAAAAGUUAAAAUUCACCCCUUGAAUUUAGUUAUGUGCCUUAUUCACGUGGGUGCUAGCCUCUUUUUCUAGCUCUAGUUCUCACAGAUGUAAGAUUUCUAUUUAUUUAAAGUUUAUAAUAUUUAUUACAUAUGCAAAUGCAAUCUAUCUGUGAUUAACCAAUAACUGAUAAAAAGUGAGAAAUACAUUACAUUGCAAUUUGUAAAUAACUGCAUUUUCAGAAGUUUUAUUUUGCUAAAUUUUUUUUUUUUACAGAAUUACAAUUAAGUUUGUAAUCUUUUUUCAAGACCUUUUUCAGCAGUUGCAAAGUAUUGAAGAAAAGCAGGUCAAAUGAAAUUUUUAGUCGAACUAAGGCAUCAGUUUCAAUCUAAAUUCAUGUGAAAUGUUUCAAAAAGCUUCAAAUUUGUUUCAGAUGUAUUUUAACCAAUUUUUACCUAGUUACAUCAUCCGUAACAUUCCUAAUUUAUCAAAUUUGAAUAAAUGACAUUUUACUUCUGAUUUUGCAUGCUUCUUUAAUUUAUUUUAAAACAUUGCAAAGUUGCACGGUGAGCAGUGAGCAUAGGAAAUCGAUAGCAAAACCAAGGCAAUUCUUAUCAUAUUUAUUUAAGUCGUACCAUGAAAAAAAUUAGAAAAGAAAGGGGGGAAAAUCAAUCAAUACUAGUCCUUAGAUGUUUUGUGUUCUUUACCUUAGCCUACUACCAAUCCUUUCCAUACAUGUCAUGAAUGCUGCCGUGCUAAGGAAAAACGCUAUAUGAGCCUUCAGGCAUUACCAAAUUUCUUUGAAUAAAACACGACUUUCCAGGUAAACUUAUGAAUAUUUUUCUUCCAAUUUUUCAGAUAAUUUUGUUCGCAAUUUCUCCCAAAGUUCCCGAGAAUUUCAGGGAAAAAUAUUCAUAACUUUUCUCAAAAAUAAAAAUUUUAGUAAAAGAAAUUUGGCAACUCUCGAAUGUUCAUACAGUGUUUUUUCCUUAGCACGGCAGAAUAAUGCUGCUGCUAUAAAGUGAGAAUGCUGUAAUAAGGUCUUAUUCCUCUGAAGUUUUCAAAGCAACCCUAGAUAUUUUUCCUGUCAAGAUUUUACGAAAAAAAAAGGUUUAAUAGGUUUUUAAAAGGUUCAUAAGAUCAACUUGUAGGUGAAAAAGCAGAGUUAAUGUUUCAUAUUAACAUCAGGAAAUUUAAACUUCCCUCUUGCAAAAAACCUAUAUUAACACAAGUCAAAUCAGCCAUUAAAAGCCAAAUAGGCACUUAACAGAUCUGGGAAGUGACUAAUUUUUUUUCUUCAAACAUCUCUUCCCAUUUAACUACAUGAUACUUCUGUAAUUGUCAAAAAUAUUUUUGCUCACCAGAAAAAACAUUUUAUUGCAAAGUACAUUGGACUUUAUUUUGUGACCAAUCUGACUCCUAAGUUGACCUAAGUUUUCGGCAGGUAGGAAGUUUGAAUUAUCCAUGGAGUUAAAAGCUUAUUUUUCACCUGAGAGAUUUUGCCACCUUUUUAUGUGUCUAGUGUAUUUAACAUGAA